GACAGAGGCCUCGAGCGUUAGGCGGAAUCACUGGGCUUAAAGCGUGUGUAGGCGGGCCCGUAAGUGUCUUGUGAAAUCCCACGGCUCAACCGUGGAACUGCUGGGCAUACUGCGGGUCUUGGGCCAACUAGGGGCAGCCGGAACAAGCGGUGGAGCGGUGAAAUGCGUAGAUAUCGCUUGGAACGCCGAAGGUGAAAACAGGGCUG
rnacentral:rRNA from 1 species